AGUAAAGUAUUGUAAAACAAAAAAUAUAUAUAUUGUUGUCUGCACCCUUCCUCUUCGCUGCCUCUCCUCUUUUACGCCUUGGGCUCAAAUUCUAACAGUGAAGAGAGAUCAACAAGUUUUCAAUCUCCAGAUCUGCGCUCCAAAGCCCUCUCUUUCUUCUCAAAGACAUGGAUCUGAAGUUUAAGCCAUCGCUCACAACCAAACCACUGUUAAUUUUUCAAUCUUAAAUCUGCCAUGGAGAGUCACCCGGGUCUUGUCCGGGUCACCCGGGUCAUGGGUUGACCCGCCGGGUUGACCGGGUUUUGCCGGGUCGUUGCACCGGCCGGUCUUUUGACAAACCCGAACCGGUCCAGCCACCGGGUCGACCGGGUCCCGGGUCGACCCGCCGGGCCGGUCCGGGUUUAAUAACUAUAAAUGGAACUCUUCCCCGCCCAACCCAUGAAAGAGUGGAUGCUUCGCAAAUAAUUGUUCUCUCUUUUAUCAUGGUGGUACAACAAAAUCGCAUUCAAAACUAGUUAUUUAAACCAAAAAAAGUAAAUAAAUAAACUAAACGAAUUAAGUAUUGCUGCCAACAGCCAAACUGGUUUUAUCUUA